rnacentral:rRNA from 1 species
AAUAGCCUAACGGCUGAACCAGCAAUUUGCGAGAAUGGAAACAGAAAGACAAAUGGUAGAUAUUUUUGGUAAAAAUACUACUAUCUUUCUAGUGGUUUAUCCACAUAAAAUUCUAGAUAGAAAUUAGACAUCGACUUAAUUCUAUCUAAUAGUCUUGACAAAAUCACGUGCCAGCUGUCGCGGUAAUACGGGAAAGACUAGUGUUAUUCAUCUUAUUUGGUAUAAAGGGUACCUAGACGGAUUUGUCGGCUUAACCUUAAAGAAAAAAAAGGAUAGACAGUAUAAUCAUUAAUCCAUAAUUAACCUUUAUUGUUUUAUUAAUGCUAUUAUAUUUGUCUAUAAGUACAGUAAUCUAGAGUUUUAUAUGAGAGGUUUGUGUUGGAACUAACAGAGUAAAGAUAAAAUUUUUUGAUACUGUUGGGCACUGGCAACGGCGAAAGCAACCCUUUAUCUAAAAACUGACGUUGAGGGACGAAGGCUUGGGUAGCAAAUAGGAUUAGAUACCCUAAUAGUCCAGGCAGAAAAUGAUGAGUGCCAUAGAUUAUAACGUUGAUCUAUAAAUGAAAGUGUAAGCACUCCACCUCAAGAGUAAUGUGGCAACGCAGGAACUGAAAUCAUUAGACCGUUUCUGAAACCAGUAGUGAAGUAUGUUGUUUAAUUCGAUGGUACACGAAAAACCUUACCACAACUUGAAUAUGUUAACUUAAUGCUUUAUUAGUUAUUUUAGUAAGUAAACAAUACAGGUGCUGCACGGCUGUCUUUAGUUAAUGUCGUGAGACGCAGGUUCGCUCCUAUUAAUUAACGUAAACCCUUGUUUUAUUUUUUUAUAAAUUACUUAGCCGAUUUUACGGAUAAGGUAAAAGGGAUCAAGGCAAGUACUCGCGGCCCUAAUGUUGUGGGCUAUAGACGUGCCACAUAUACCUGUACAAAAGGACGCAAAAAUGUGAAUAUUAGCUAAUCCUCAAAACAGGUUAUAAUAU